GGCGCUGAUGGUAUAGUGGUGAAAGUGCGCGACCAUGUGCAGAGGCUAUAGUCCUCGAAGCAGCUGUCCCAGGUUCGAGUCCUGGACCCGGCGACA